rnacentral:rRNA from 1 species
ACUCCAACGGGAGGCAGCAGUGAGGGAAUAUUGGUCAAUGGGCGCAAGCCUGAACCAGCCAUGUCGCGUGCAGGAAGACUGCCCUAUGGGUUGUAAACUGCUUUUAUAUGGGAAGAAUGUGAGCUACGAGUAGCUUUUUGCCGGUACCAUAUGAAUAAGCAUCGGCUAACUCCGUGCCAGCAGCCGCGGUAAUACGGAGGAUGCAAGCGUUAUCCGGAUUCAUUGGGGUUUAAAGGGUGCGUAGGCGGAAUAGUAAGUCAGGGGUGAAAGUUUGCGGCUCAACCGUAAAAUUGCCUUUGAUACUGUUAUUCUUGAGUACAUUUGAGGUAGGCGGAAUGUGUUGUGUAGCGGUGAAAUGCUUAGAUAUAACACAGAACACCGAUUGCGAAGGCAGCUUACUAAACUGUAACUGACGCUGAUGCACGAAAGCGUGGGGAUCGAACAGGAUUAGAUACCCUGGUAGCACAGAG